ACAGAAGGGUCAUUACAAAUCCCCUAGACUACUUGUGUUUGUGCACAAGAUUGGAGGACAUCGACCAAAGUCGAGAUCCAUCUUCAUCGUAGACGUCAUCUCUUUUUCUUUGCCUAGGUGUCUCUCUCUCUCUCGUGACGUCAACUUCAUUCCCCGAUUUUUCUUUUUCUUUUGUGGAGCCACUUCAAAAUGUUUUACGAUUCCUUUGGCGACGCUUAUCACAUCCAGUUGCUGUUUGAGGAAACUCAAACUAAUUCCAAAAGAAAUGAAAAGAUUGUGGUUUUUGAAGAGGAACCCCCCUCCCGCCGAUCAUCGUUAGCUUGUCAAAGACACUACUUCGUUCUUUUGUUUUCUUUGUGUGUGUGUGUGUGUGUGUGGAGGGGGGACAUCUUGCGCGUUUGGCAAACGCCAGCAAACGCCUACCGUCCUACAGCGGCCAUCGUUUGCCCAUUUUCUUUAUUGAUUGAGGAGCUUUUGCCUACCAACAUAAUCGUUUUUGAUUGCAGUGACCACAGACGAAGGCAGCGGUGGCCAUAUUGGGUUGGAUCGACGUCAAUGUUAACGCAUUUAAAACAAAAUAAAAUCAAAAAAAUAUUCAUUUUCUCUUUGUUGUUAGUCAACAAUUUUUCCUACAUCGCAGGAGUAGAAGAAAUAAUUUUUUUUUUUGCAAAACAGGGGGGGGGGUUGUACGGAACUUCCUUCCGGAUUGAUCCGUGUGCAGUCUAAUAGAACGACGCAGAAAGAAGGUAAAAAAAAAAACAAAAAACGCGGGAGCCAAAAAUACAUAAAUGGGGCGGUACCAUCGCAAUGCCCCACAUUUUUCUCCUUUUUGUUCGACCACGCGUCGAAGAUGGCCGGACUGCUCUAGAAUCAGGCGUGGGCGCCAACACACACACACACACAAAAAAUAAAAAUACUACGAUUUGUGGAUGGGGACGAACAAAAAUUCCGCAGUUUGGCCUCCCUUUGCGUUCCAUUGGACACGAUUUAUCGGUGCGACUCGAUGAUUGGUUUGAUGAUGUCGGGAGUGGGGGAAAAAAAAAAGAUAGAUGAAAGCGGAUAUACAACGGCACGUAGAGAAAAAAAAAAAACACAUCCCUGCCAGUUGGAAACGACAAUUCAAACGCGGUUCGUGGUGUUUGCCAAUCUUUUUAUUUAUUUUUUGCUAUGUCAAUUGUUGUUGUCCCCUCUGAGGAGAGGGCUGUUAUCGUCAUUUCCUCAGCAGCUCUCUCGCCAUCGGAUCACUGCUGCUUCGAUUGACUUGGCCCCAAACAUCAACAAAGGCCAAACCAAUUGAUGAAAAACUAUUGCAUGUGUACAUCUGUGUGUGUGUGUGUGUGUGUGUUUGUUCCUUCCUUCCCGAACCCGUUUUGUCUCCCCCCUCCCUCUUCUUCCGGGUGUUCUUGCUAUUUUUCAAGUCAACGCAAUUCAAAAAAAAAAAAAAAAGGAGGGAGGGGACGAAGACAGCAAACAAACAAAAAUACACAAACUGAGCAAGCAAACAAAGAAAAUCAAAACAACAUAAGGCCAAUCUAUCAAACUGACACGCCAUGACGCCAGCGGUCUCUAUAUCGAAGAAGAAAGGGGAGGAAGAAAGCGAAGCAUCUCCAACCGAAAAUGUUGAAGAGGAUUUUUUUGUUUUUGUUUUUGUUCUUUGAUAUUUUUUUUUCUUUCUUCGUUUCUGCUGCUGAUGUCGAUGGUGACGGAUGGCUUGCGGAUACGCCAUCGAGCAGUUCUAAUAUUAGGUCAAAAUAAACAGCUAAUACCGAAUUGUGUGCCCUCAUAACUGUCUCCUCCAUUGUUUUCCCUUUUCGACACGUUUUGUUUUCCCCCACGUUCGUUCAGACUACGUUUUCCCGCGAUUUAUCAACUCGUCUAUU